UCCGGUUUGUCACCGGCAGUCCCAUUAGAGUGCCCAACUGAAUGUGGCAACUAAUGGCAAGGGUUGCGCUCGUUGCGGGACUUAACCCAACAUCUCACGACACGAGCUGACGACAGCCAUGCAGCACCUGUGUUCGAGUUCCCGAAGGCACCAAUCCAUCUCUGGAAAGUUCUCGACAUGUCAAGGCCAGGUAAGGUUCUUCGCGUUGCAUCGAAUUAAGCCACAUGCUCCGCCGCUUGUGCGGGUCCCCGUCAAUUCCUUUGAGUUUUAGCCUUGCGGCCGUACUCCCCAGGCGGGGUGCUUAAUGCGUUUGCGACGGCACGGAAGGGGUUGAUGCCUCCCACACCUAGUGCCCAUCGUUUACGGCGUGGACUAC
rnacentral:misc_RNA from 1 species